rnacentral:rRNA from 1 species
GCCUAACACAUGCAAGUCGAGCGGCAGCAUGCUUAGUAGCAAUACUAAGUGAUGGCGAGCGGCGGACGGGUGAGGAACACGUAGGAACCUGCCCAAGAGAGGGGGACAACCAAUGGAAACGUUGGCUAAUACCGCAUAAUCUCUUAGGAGAAAAGUUGCCCGUAAGGGUAGCGCUUUUGGAGGGGCCUGCGUCCGAUUAGCUAGUUGGUGAGGUAAUGGCUCACCAAGGCUGUGAUCGGUAACUGGUCUGAGAGGACGACCAGUCACACUGGGACUGAGACACGGCCCAGACUCCUACGGGAGGCAGCAGUGGGGAAUCUUGGACAAUGGGGGCAACCCUGAUCCAGCGAUGCCGCGUGGGUGAAGAAGGCCUUCGGGUUGUAAAGCCCUUUAGGCUGGGACGAAGGAUGUGGGACGAAUAAUCCUGCAUUUUGACGGUACCAGCAGAAUAAGCACCGGCAAACUCUGUGCCAGCAGCCGCGGUAACAC